AAAUUAGGAAACUGAGGCACAGAUAUGCUCUUGGGUACUUGUCAGCAGCAGUUGUUCUACAAGCUAAAUAUCUGGAUAUCUUAAAUCUCAGAUGAGUGUCUUAGCCUCUGGAUUACUGCCCAAUGAGGAAAGCUAUGAAAUGCAUGGAUAACUUGUUAAUCAGUAUUUGCCAUAUGUGCUAGCAGCAUCAGCAUCAGUUGGGAGAUUAUAGUGGCCUCCAUGUCAGACCUCCUAAAUCAGAAUAUCAGAGAAGGGGGCCCAGGUUACCAUACUUCAUCUGCCAAUGCAUUGAAAACUUGGAAUGUAAAUUAAUUCAGCCAUUGUGGAAGAUGGUGUAGUGAUUUCUCAAAGACCUAGAAGCAGAAAUAUCAUUUUAU
rnacentral:antisense_RNA from 1 species